rnacentral:lncRNA from 1 species
UUUCAUUCUCGGAAAACGGUUACGUUCUGAACAAGAUGACGCCGUUUCCGUUGCUGCACCUACCGCUCCACCGGCUCUUUGGGCGCUUCCGUCAAGGCCUGACUUCGCUCAACUUUGGAGCUUCGCCGCCGCCGCAGCACAACCUCCGUCGGAAGUUCUUUCCAUUUCUCCGCAACAGCAACAGCAUAAUUCGUUGUUUCAUCAUCAACAGCAGCAGCAACAACAACAUCAAGCUUCCAUGGGAGAAGCUUCGGCGGCGAGGUUAGGGAAUUACCUUCCUGGACAUCUUAAUUUGCUCGCUUCAUUGUCCGGUAACGGAAAUUCCGGUCGGGGAGACGACGAACAUCAUUGAUUGGAGCUUCAUUGAUUGGAACUUCAUUGUUGAAGCUCUUAGUAUAUAUUUAUAUAUAUUAUGAUGUGUGUGUUUUAAUUUUAUGGCUAUUGUUUUGUGAUUUUUGCUUGUUGUGUGUGGACAAUUAGAAGAUUCUUAGUCAAAUUUUAGGGUUAGGUUAUUGUUUAUUUUGGAAUUGAGAUGUCCUAGAAUUGAGGAACUCAAUUAGGGUUUUCCUAGGUGGGAAAACUGAUUAGGUUUUUAGAAGAGGAUGAUGAUGAAUUACUUUGUUUAGAUUAUUGAGUUCUUUGGUGGAGGAAAAUUGAAGCAUGGAAUGGAUUGGUGUGAUUAUGAUAUGAAUCAUGAAUAACACUAGUGAUUGAAGCUUGAUUGGUAUGCAAAAGCAAGUGUAAUGGAACAGAAUGAAAUGGAAUGUGAAGAGUGAGAGAGUGUUUCAAGUUGAAUGAAGAUGAGUUGCUGCUUCGGUUUCGUUUUCAUGGUGGGUUUUUAAUUUUACUCAAUUUUAUUACUCUUCUGAUUGAGACUUGAGAGUGCAAGUUUAGUUAUUCAAUUUCCUAGGUUUAGGUUGAUGAGUAAAUGUGUAUCUGAUGAUCGAUUGUUACUCCAAUUUUAUUGGAGUAUUGUUUUUUUCUUCAGAAUUUCAUGCUUUGUGGCUGCCGAUUGAGCAUUAUAAUUAUUGAGGUCAGUUUAAAGUGGCCAUGGUAAGCAUUUGGCAUAGCUGCUGGUGAGCUUUUCUUUUUUUUGUCCUUCAUUUUCACCUUUUUUGGUGUCCUUAGUUGUUUGAGAGAGGACUAGUAUCCGAAAGACGGACUACCAGUUCUACUCUGUAAGAUCUCUGUUUUGAGAUUUUUAUCUGCAAUUCUUAUCCAUUUGUUAGAUUGAUCAGUGUUAGUGACUGAGAAUAAUGUGUUUGUAACUUGAUUGUUGUGGGGUGCUACUGAAGUGAAUAAAAAACCCAUUUGUUUCUUUCUUUAUAUCUUACUGCUUUUGCUACUUUUUUCUGUGUAUAUAUGAUUUUAUGAAUGUAUAUAUAAUUAUGAAACCAUUCUUCUAGUAGGCAUUUCAUAUUCCAAAUUGAAUGGUUUAUUCAACACAGUUUGAUUUCUGUUCUAUAAUAAUACUGUAAUCAUAGGCCAUGGUACUCUGUCUAAGAGUUUGUACUCAGGCCUUUCAGUAUUUAAGGAAAGAUAUGGUUCAAAUAUGUAAUGUAAAAUCAUGCUAAUAGUAUCUGGUAUGUUACUAUUUUUGACGUUCCAUCCUUGUUUAAAUUAUUUGUGGUGCAUAUCAUUCAACAAAGUCAAUCUGGGUCUUCUAGCUGAUACUGAUGUGUUGUUAUCUUAUUAAUGACUUAUCUACUGUGGUUGUUGUGUGACAUUGGCUUUUAUUGCCACACCCUUUGAAACAACCAUGUGCGUUUUAUUAAAGUUUUAAAUAAAGGUCCACCACAACAAUUUGGGUUGUGGUUUCAGAGUUUUUGAUAACCCUGUUACCUCAAUGUGAUUGUAAUUGGGACCGCAUCAAUUACAUUUGACUGCAAUUUUUUGCAAUAUGAAUGAUUACAAUGCAACUUUUACCACAACCGUGACCCAAAAGCUUGUGCCUUUCUGGGUGUCUCAACUUCAAAGACGAAAGCAUACACAAUGCUACUGACUAAAUGUGGAAAGAAAGAUAUGUUGAAUCAUUGGUAAUGGGGCUAAAAAGGCGUUUUCUAAUGUUCCCUCAAUAAGAAAAAUAGGAAGAAGAUGGGAUGCCAGCAGUGUCCGUAUAGGAAUUUCAUUUCUAAUACACUCUACCAAAGAAAUCCCUUUGUGAAAUUAAUUUCCCGGAUAAUCUUGUUUUCUUAUUCCAGAUGAGCUGGUGAGAAAAUGAGUUAUUGACAGUAUAAAGUUAACUUUGGAAUACAUUUUUGUACCUAUGGUGGUGUCCGGUAGUAGUGUGUAAUUGGGGAACCAGAAGGAAGUUGAGCUGCUGGAUAACACAACACCCACCUAUCAUUUUUAUUAAUUUUGUAGUUUUCUGCAGAUGGAUUAUUGGUGUGGGGUAUCAAAUUUGCUACUGACAGGAUUUUAAACAGAGUACGGAAAGGUGUCAGUUUCCAAUAAUUGAUGGGUCCUUUAAUUACACCUUUCAUUAUACACCGUGGUUAAACUACGGAUAUAAUGUAAAAUUAAAUAUAUCAUCUUUGUUAAUUUAUUAUCCUCAUAUUUUUUUAAGGUUAGAGGGAGUAUCAGAGAGUUUUGAUAAAUUUUUUUGUGAAGUUAAUGAAAAUUCCAUAAUUUGAAAAUAAGUUCCAUAAUUUUAUGUGGAACUCAAGUAGUUUUUACUUAAGUGAAUGUUGAAGAGAAAGUGUUUUUGUAUUUCUCUUUCUCAAAUUUUGUUUUUAUCUUCCCUCUCUCAUUUUUAUCUAAAUCCUCUUCCUUUUAUUAAAAAAAAAAUCGUCUUCCUUUUCCAACCAUGUUCAUGUCUGCAAGCUUCCAUGUUUUCAAGGCAAAAUAAUUUCCUAUUUAAAGCUAUAUACAAACAUUUCUAUGACCACCUACAGUCAUAUAUAGAGUGUGAAUAAAUAACAAAAUAAGAUUGAAGAUUGAAGGGUGACGAUGUUUUGUACAACCAACUCAGAUUUACCUUUGUUAUGUUGGGGACAUGUAUCAUGGGAAACAAGAAUGAAAGAUAAGGCUGUUUUUCUUUUGUUACAUAAAGGAAAGGCAAGGCUCUGAAAUGCUAUCGGUUAAAUUAAUAAAAAUACAAAUUAAUUGGUAAUUUAAUUAAUCAGGUUAAAAAAAUUAAGUAAUUAAUUAGAUAAAUUGCUUAUUUAAAUUAUUUUUUUCAAAAGAAUAUUAAUUAUAUGAUUUUUGAGUUUAAGGGUUGUCCAUAUCAAUAAUAAUAUCAUUUCUCUCUUUUCUCAAUCAAACAAAGGGAGCAAGACCAAUAUAUUUCUCUUAUAAAAAUUAAUAACUUAAAUUUACAACUAUAUAAAUAUAUAUUAAAUCUCUUUAUCUAUCCUCACACUCUUNNNNNNNNNNNNNNNNNNNNNNNNNNNNNNNNNNNNNNNNNNNNNNNNNNNNNNNCACAUUUUCCUCUCUUAGUUUUCUAUCACAACCAAACAUAUCUUGAGUGAUGAAGCUAUUAGAUGACAAACUGGAGGGUAAGGAUCUCUCAAUUUCUUCAAAGAAAUGGAGAUAUUCAAUACUAUAAUUUAUGGAUAUGUAAAAAAAAAUAAAGACAUUUUCAAAAACUGUGGCAUCAAUUAGACAUUUUAUACAGUCAAAUUAUAAUAACGAAGAUUUUAAUUCUUUUAAAAAUAGAGAAGAUCUAGACACUAAAUGGAAUCACUUAUAGUUGUGCUCCAUAUUCAACUAAAAUAAACAACGGAAGACAGGGAGAAUACGUAAUACCUCAUAUUAUUUAUCUAGAAAAUAGUGUAGAAUACGGUAAAUUAAUAUCAUUACAGUCUAACUUCACAAAAGAAGUCAUAAUAGAUAUAUAAAUACAUUGUUAGGCGUCUAGUUUCACAUUCAGACUAUAUAACUAAAUUCCAAAAUUACAAUCACAAUAACUAUUAAACAUCAACAUUAAAUACUUGUUCUUAGUCCAAAGCUCAAGCCUUCUUUCUUAUAUGCUAUAAUACAUAAAAAUAGAAGGUGGGAUAAUGGUAUCAACGAGUUCCGUAAAAGGGGGAGGGAUAAUUAAAAAAUAUAUUUUUAAAGCGUCAACAAUAGAAAGAAUACAAAGUUCCUUUCUAAUGUUUGAAAAUCUUUCAAUUCAGUUAAUUUUUCCAUAUAAUAUGGACAAUCUAUCCUAAUUAUCUUAGCGUGAGGCACAAAAAUAGUUGUGAUCACUUUGUAAGGUAGGUUUUGGUCACGACCGCAACAUGCAUACAUAUGUUUCGUUAAUGAAACAUUAUCAUAUUUCACAUAUCAUUUUCAGUCAUUUAAUUUAAAACAUAUAAUUAAAAAUGAAACUUGAACAUGAGAAAUGUAUAGUAUCAUUUUAAGUUAAAUCAAUGCAUAUUAAACAUCACGAUAUUAAUCAACUAGCCAAUAACAAUACAAUUAGAAUCAAUAUUAAAGAAUACUACAAACUAAGCACACAAUAAAAAUACAAGGAACAUUUCAAAGUCUAUUAAAUUCACUUAGAGAAUUUAAGUAUGAAGCAACCAUGUUGGUCCUAGGACUGAGUUCAUUUAGCGAAUUUUUGCGAACUCUGAACUUUCAGUACAAAAAUAGAGAAAUACACCACAUCAAACAAGUAUAAUCAUUCCAAUAAUCAAAUAUAUUACAUAAAUCAUAUCAAUACAAUAUAUUCAAUCAAGCAGCAAGAAUGCAAUAGUUCUUAACAUGCAAAAAUAAAAAAAUUCUCACUCAUUUUGAAAUUCCAAAAGUUCUAAACUCCAAAUCAAAAUUAGAUUUUCUUCCACUUAAAUACCCAAAUUCUAGCACUACAUACAAAAAUAGAUUAAACCACAUGCAAGAGGGGAAACAAAAGAAACUCAAUUCUUCUUGGCUAUAGAGUUUUGGUACAUAUUCCUUCGAUGAUGUUUUCCUUAGGGUUCAAGAUGAUAUUUUCUUCUAAUUUCCAUUACUUGAAGGUGAUGUAGAAUGAAUGGGGUUUGGGAUGGUGCAUGCAUAUUUUCUAUUACAGAGAUAAGAAGUGUAUAUGAAUUUAAGGUUGAAGGUUGUUUUGAUAAGGAUGUGAGGGUAAAUGUAGUUAAUUGAAGAAAGACUUCUUCCUAUGUUUUCAAUCGUGCUACCUGUUGGGUAUUGAACUCCCUUUCUAUAUGGAUAAAAACUCAAAUAUUGUAUCCCAUGUCUCUCACUUAUUUAAGUAGAGAGUGGUCUAAUUAGGAUUACAAGAGAGACUAUUUUGAUAGGAAAGACAACCACCAAAAGAGAAAAGAGAAGAGUAACCCUAUUUCCGAUUUUGUUAAAUCAGUCUCAGAAAAAUAUCGACUGCGUAUUCGCCAACCGUUAGAUCGGGCUGAUAUUUGGACAACAGGAUCACAACAUUCAGGUCUUCGUUUUCAACGGUCGGUCGGAUCAGCGGAAUAAAGUCUGGAAAGGGAGAAAUAGUGCUCUCACAACUGCAACUGCAGGUUUUUGGAUGUUUUUCUUCUUCUUGAUGUUCAUUUGUAGGCUUUAGUGCUUUGUUAUUUUGGCUGGUUGUAAGCACAAUUUGUGCAUCAUUCUGAGACUCUCUUAUAUCCUUAUUUGAUUAUAGUGGAGCUAUUUCUUUGGUCUGGACAACAUGUAGUUUUUACCUUUGCAUUGAGAAGUUUUCCACGUUAAAAUAUCGGAGUUUAUUAUACUAUUUUAUUUUGAUUAAUUUGCUGCCAUAUAUUUGUUGUUGCUCAUAACGGGUUCUUGCAAGUUAGGGGAAUUUUAUAUCUGCUGUGUAUUACUUGUUAUUGUGUUUUUGUGUUUAUCCCCCAUCAGAGUGACAUCGGAGCUCUUGGUUGAAUGGCUAUUUGACUUGCUUGAAGGAUGGAGGCAAAUAUGAAUAUAAAGAUGAUAUGCUUAAAUGAUACUAAUUACUAUUUGUGGAAUGUAAAGAUGAAAGAUUUAUUAUUUGUGAAGAAAAUGCAUCUUCAUAUUUUUUUAUAAAAAGCCUGUUGAUAAAUCUAUGGAAGAAUGAGACUUUGAACAUCAACAUGUAUGUAGUUUUGUUAGGAAAUAUGUAGAAGAUAAUGGUUAUAAUCAUAUUGCUAAUGAGACAAAUGUAAACACUAUGUGGGAUAAGAUAUAGACUUUGUUUGCCUCUAAAUCAGGGAAUACUAAAUUAUUCUUACUAAAUAGUUUUAUAAGUUUGAAGUAUAAGUAGGGAACGUCUAUUUUGGACCACUUGAGUGAAUUUCAUGGGCUCCUUGAUCAAAUGUCUGGAAUGGGUAUCAAGUUUGAUGACGAGCUAUUGGGACUAUUUUUACUGUUAUCUUUACCAGAGUCUUGGGAGACAUUUCGGGUUUCUAUAACGAGUUCAGCUCUUAAUGGUGUUAUUUCUUUGGAAAUGGCUAAGGGUGGUGUUUUGAAUGAGGAGAUGAAAAGGAAGGCACAUGGUUCUUCAUCUCAAUCAGAAGUUCUUGUCACUGAAAAUAAGGGGAGAAGUCAGAAAAAAGAACCGAAGGGUGGUAGAGAAAAUAGCAGAAGCAAGUCCAAGUCUAGAUACAAAAAUAUGGAGUGUCAUUAUUGUCGUAGAAUAAAGCACAUACAAAAGAAUUGUUUUUUGUGGAAAAAUGAGAACAAAGGCAAGAAUGGUAAGCAAAAACAAAGGGGUCGUGAUGAUGACCGUGUUACUACUGCUACUAGUGAUGAUCUUAUUAUCCUUCGUGACUAUGAGUCAGUUAAUCUUGUAUCUGAUGAGAGCAUGUGGAUAAUUGAUAGUGGUACUACACUACAUGUUACACCGAGUAAGGAGUUCUUCACAUCUCAUACUUCAGGCGGCUUUUAAGUUUUGAAUAUGAGUAAUGGUGGUGUAUCUAAGGUAAUUGGUGUUGGUGAUGCUUGCAAACCAACAUGGGAAUGCAAUGGUUGCUUAAAAGAGUCAAACAUGCUCCAGAUGUCCGCUUCAAUUUGAUCUUUGUGCAUAUGCUUGAUGAAAGUGGUUUUGAUAAUUUGCUUCUAGAAAGUGGAAACUCAGUAAAGGUAACUUGGUUGUGGCUAGACGAGAGAAAAUUAGUAAACUAUAUUGGACAAAAGCUUUGGUUGCAAAAGACAAUGUGAAUGUCGUGGAUAUGGAAUCAUCUUUGUGGCACCGAAGGCUUAGCCAUAUUAGUGAAAAAGGUUUAAAUUGCUUAGUUAGAAAUGAUGUGUUUCCAGGAUUGAAGAAUGUAGAUUUGGAGAAAUAUUCUCACUGCAUGAUUGGAAACAGACUAGAGUAUCCUUCAAAAGAUAUCCUCCCUUUAGAAAGUCAGAGUUGUUUCAGUUGGUGUAUUCUGACAUCUGUGGCCCUUUAAAGGUAAAAUAUUUUAGAGGUGUACUUUAUUUUGUUACUUUUAUUGAUGUCUAUUCCAGAAAACUAUGAGUUUAUGUUCUGAAGAUAAAAAACCAAGUGUUGGAGAAAUUCAAACAAUUUCAUGCUUUGGUUGAGAGGCAGAUAGACAAGAAGCUGAAACGUGUUCGUACUGACAACGAUGGUGAGUAUUGCAAACCCUUUGAUGUUUAUUCCAAACAACAGGGUAUAGCACAUGAAAAGACUCCUCCUAAAACUCAUCAGCUAAAUGGUUUAGCAGAGAGGAUUUAUCGAACACUUGUUGAGCGAAUGAGGUGUAUGCUCUAUGAAGCUAAGUUGCCUAAAUAUUAUUGAGGUGAGACACUGUACACGCCAGUGCAUGUUAUUAAUCUUACUCCUACUAUCGCUUUGAAUAGUGAGGUACCAAACAAGGUAUGGUUUGGCAAGAAUGUCAAGUAAGAUCACUUGAAAGUUUUUGGUUGCAAGACUUUUGUGCAUGUUUCAAAAGAUGAAAGAUCUAAGUUGGAUGCAAAGUCGGAGCAGUUUAUCAAAGAUCUAAGUUGUAUGAUCCUAUAAACAAAAAGGUUAUCAGAACUCGUGAUGUAGUGUUUAUGGAAGACCAAACUAUUGAAGACAUUGAUAAGGUGGAGAAGACUACACUUGAGAGAAAUAAUGUCUUAGCUGAUGGUGAUCCAGUUCGGUCACCUGUUCCUGAUUUGGAUACUAUUGAUGGUAUUAUUGAGAAUGAUGAGCCACAUGAUUGUGUUGAUGAUCGUCAACUUAGAGAUGAGGUAAAUAUUCCAACUAGUGAAGAUCAUGAGUUAUCACACGAUGAUAAUCAAAGUGAUGCUUUUGAAUCAUCUCUAACCCAACUCAUGAGGUCUAAGAGGCAGAGACAACCAUCUACAAGGUAUGGUUCUGAUGAGUAUAUCUAUUUGACUGAUGAAGGGGAACUUGAGUGUUUUCAAGAGGCCAUGGAGAAUGAAGAAAGUCAAAAGUGAUUGGAUUCAAUGCAUGAUGAGAUGAAAUCCUUGCAUGAUAAUCACACUUAUGAUUUGGUGAAAUUGCCAAAAGGAAAAAGGGCUUUGGAAAACAGGUGGAUCUAUAGAGUGAAAAUUGAGAGUAAUUGAAGGUCUCCGAGGUAUAAAGUCAGAUUAGUGGUGAAAGGUUUCUGUCAAAGAAAUAGUGUUUAUUUUAAUGAGAUUUUCUCACUUGUGGUAAAAAUGUCAUCAAUUAGAACCGUGUUGAGUUUGACAGCUACUCUUGACUUAGAGGUAGAACAAAUGGAGUUAAAAACGACUUUCCUUCAUGGUGAUUUGGAUGAAGAGAUUUACAUGAAGCAACCUGAUGGUUUUCUUGUUGAAGGCAAGGAAGACUAUGUGUGUAGACUAAGAAAAAGUCUAUACGGUCUGAAGCAAGCUCCAAGACAGUAAUACAAAAAGUUUGAGUCUGUUAUGUGUGACCAAGGAUACAUGAAGACUACUUCUGACCGUUGUGUAUUUAUUAGAAAAUUUUCUAACGAUGAUUUCAUUAUCCUGUUAUUAUAUGUUGAUGACAUACUUAUUGUUGGGAAAAAUAUUUUCAAGAUUGACAGGUUAAAGAAACAGUUGGGCGAGUCCUUUGCCAUGAAAGACAUGGGAGCAGCUAAACAGAUUCUUGGCAUAAGAAUCAUGUGUGACAUAAAGGAGAAGAAACUUUGGAUGUCACAAGAAUACUAUAUUGAGAGAGUGUUGCAAAGGUUUCAGAUGGAAAACUCCAAGGCUGUAAGUACUCCUCUUGCUGCUCACUUUAAGUUGAGUUCUAAACAAAGUCCUUGUAGUGAAGAUGAGAAAAGAGACAUGGAAUGAGUUCCUUAUGCUUAUGUCGUGGAUAUUUUGAUGUAUGCAAUGGUUUGUCAAAUCCUGGUAGAGAGCAUUGAAAUACUGUAAAAUGGAUUUUGAGUUAUCUUCGUGGUACUAUAUGUAUGAUGAUUUGUUUUGGAGGUGACAAACCUAUUUUGGUGGGGUACUCCGACUCAGAUAUGGCUGGAGAUAUUGAGUCGAUAAAAUCAACUUCAGGCUACAUGAUUAAAUUUGCAGAUGGAGCUAUGACUUGACAGUCUAGAUUACAGAAAUGUGUAGCAUUGUCUACAACUGAGGCAGAGUUCAAUGCCAUUACUGAAGCAUGCAGAGUUGAUUUGGUUGAAGAAAUUCUUGCAGGAGCUUGGGUUUAUCCAGGACAAAUAUGUAUUAUUUGUCGAUAGUCAAAGUGCUAUUCAUCUUGGUAAGAAUUCGACGUUUCAUAGCAGGCCCAAACACAUUGAUGUGAGGUAUCAUUGGAUACAUGAUAUUUUGGAAGCUAAGUUGUUGAAAUUGGCUAAAGUUCAUACUGAUUAUAAUGAUUUUGAUAUGAUGACUAAAUCAUUACAAGAGGGAAGUUUGAAACUUGUUGUGAUAUCGUCGGUUUGACGAUUAUCUCCACAUAGUUGUGAGAGGGAGAUAUGUUGGGUAUUGGACUCUCUUCCUAUGUGGAGAAAGACUCCAAUAUUGUAGCUCAUGUGUCUCACUUAUUUAAGUGGAGAGUAUUCUAAUUAGGGUUACAAGAGAGAGACUAUUUUGAUAGGAAAUACAACCACCAAAAAAGAAAAGAGAAGAGUAACCAUAUUCCCGAUUUUGUUAAAUCAGUCUCAGAAAAACAUCGAUUGCACAUUCGUUAACCAUUGGAUCAGGCUAAUAUUUGGACAACAAGUUUGCAAUAUUCAGGUCUUUGUUUUCAACGGUCGGAUCAGCGAAACGACGUCUAGAGGGGGAGAAAUCGUGCUCGCACAACAACAGGUUUUUGAGUGUUUUUCUUCUUCUUGCUUUUCAUUUGUAGGCUUUAGUGCUUUGCUAUUUUGGCUGAUUGUAGGCACAAUUUGUGGAUCAUUUUGAGACUCUCUUGUACCCUUAUUUGAUUAUAGUGGAACUAUUUCUUUGGUUUGUACGAUCCGUGGUUUUUACCAUUGCAUUGAAGGGUUUUCCACGUUAAAAUAACGGAGUUCAUUACGCUAUUUUAUUUUGAUUAAUUUGUUGCCAUAUAUUCGUUGUUGCUCCUCACGAGUUCUAGCAAGUUGAGAGAAUUUUAUAUCCGCUGCGUAGUAUUUGUUAUUGAGUUUUUGUAUUUAUUGUCCAUCACUACCAUGAAUCACACCUAGAAGGGUAAUCACCGGGGAUGCAGGGAAAGUACGAAAAAGAAUAUAAAGACAACUUCUCCACUCCCUUUCUUUGCACUUUUUAAGAGAAACGAAAUAGGCAAUGAUGCCACAAAAUUUUGUCUUUCUCCUUUGUCUCUCUUCUAAACCAAACGAGAGAGAUACGUCAUCUUUUUCCAACUUUUCUCUAUCCUCUUUCUCUCUUUCAUAAUUAUGCUCAGCCAAACACUGUGUAAGUGAGUAAGGAUAACUUUUCAAAAACUAUUUUUGUUUUUUAUUUUUAAAUUUUUAAUUUUCUAUAUUUUUAAAAGACAGAACAUAAAAAUUAAUUUUAUAAAUCAUUAGCGUUGAUCAAAUUUAUAUUACGAUUAAAGCUCUAACUCUAAACCUAACAAGUACAUUAGACACACAUUAUCAGCAAACUUUGUUUAAAUAGAUUUCAACACAAAUUUUCAUUCGUUAGAAUGUUUUGAAAUUUGACAUUAACGUCGACCAAGUCAGCGUUUUCACAAUUCCUUUUUACAAAAAAAGAAAAGCUAUUAAAAAGUUAUUUAUUUUGAAAAGUUUGGAAUUUCAGAUUUUCUUACCAUUUAAAACAUUAUUGUGUUUUGAAUAUUUUAUUUUUAUAAAUAGGGUCAUGCUAAUAAAAGUUUUAAAAAUAUUUACUCAGAAAUAAAAAAAAUUAUGUGAAAAAAUAAUCAAUUUUUAAAAUUUCAAAAUAUUAAAUACACUAUUAAAAUUUAUAUUUUAAUAUUUAAUAUUUUUAACAAUUUUAUAAGGCAUUUACUAAAAUGACCUUAUAAAAAUAGAGAAUGUCAAGAAUUUCAAAAAGCAAAUGUUUUGAACACAAUUAUAUUUGGAUUUAAAAAAAAAAGAAGAUUCAAGAAUAAUAUUUGUUAUCAUUUCCUUGAAUUCCUAAUAUUUUGAUAAAUAAUAGCAAAAUUAUUUUGCAUUUUCAGGAUAUUUGUUGGGUUAGCAGAACUAGGUAGGGGAGUCCUAGUAGAUUUCUCAAAAGCCUGUCAACACAAAUCCACAAAAGGUAGUAGAAGCAAGUAUUUUAAUAAUGAGCACACGGUUAAAUACAUAAUGCUUAAGUGCACAUACAAAAAUACACUUUUUUUUAAAUAUCAACAGUAAAUAAAUUUUUUAUUAUUAUUAAUUUUUUUUAUGUGCAUCUAAAUAUUAUAUAUUUAGUAAAAUAUUUUUUUAUUAUAUAUCUAAAUAUUAUAGAUUUAGUUAUGCGACCAUGAAAGCUUUAUUACUUAAUAAUUCAUACUAAUACAAAUGUUGCCAAAAAUUGGGAGAGUGAGUUUGUAAGGACCGAUAGUGCUGAGCUGGCACGUAUUUUUUCUGAUACAUACAUACAUGCAUAAUAAAAAAUAAAAAAUGUUAUAAGGCUUGCUCAAAUUUUUCUUACAAGGCCAGAGAAUAAAAUGUUAAAAGUCUAAUAAAUACAACUAUGAGAGAUUGAUAUGUGAAUUGGAACAUAAAAUAGCAUUUUUUUUUAUAUUAAUGUUUAAGUUUUACCGUUAAAUUCUUAAAAAAAAUGUAUUUUUCUUUUUUUCAUUAAUAGGAACAAGUCUAUAUACUUAUAAAAAAUAAAACAAGUAUAUACAUCAAAUGAAUUUGAGUCUAAUAAAAAAGACUAAACUUUCACGAUGUGAUGAACUAAGACUUGAAUUCUAAUUGAGAGAGAUAUCACAUUAAUUUAAUAUAUGACGCGGCUUAAAUAAAAUUAACUUUGAUAGAGAAAACCUAUAAAAAAAGUCUAUAAAGGGGUUAAUUGGUAAAGUCAUUUUGGAUACCUAAUCAACGUUUGUUCAAGGCAGACACAUUUUAGAUGAGAUUGUUGAAGCAAAGAGGAAGAAGAAGGAAUUUUGUUGUUUAAGAUUGACCUUAAAAAACCUAUGAUUAUGUUGAAUGAGAUUAUUUGGAUGCGAUUAUGGUUAACCUGAAUUUUCCUUCUUUAUGGCAUCAAUGGAUUAAGGAAUGCCUAAGUUCAACAGAAGUGUCAAUUUUGGUUAUUGGCUCUCCGACCGAUGAAUUUACUCUCUUAGGAUGGUUGAGACAAGGAGAUCCUCUGUCCCCUUUCUUGUUUCUUUUAGCUGUCAAAGGGCUUAAUUCUUUGAUGUGCUCAAUAGCUAGGAACAAUUUGUCUGUUGGUUAUUGUGUGAGCUCUGACGAGGAUUGUUGUGUUUCCCGUUUGCAAUUUACAGAUAAUACUAAUAUUAUGCGAGUUAAAAGUUGGGCCACUGUUAGAGGUAUAAAGUCCAUUAUGUUAUUGUUUGAGCUAACUUCGAGUUUGAAUGUGAAUUUCCAUAAGAGUUUUCUUGUGGGAUUAAUGUCAAUGACUAUUGGCUUGGGGAAGCGGCGGAUGUGUUACAUUGUAAGGUCGACUAUGUUUCUUUUAAAUAUUUGGGUAUGGCUAUUGGAGAUAAUCUUUGAAGGGUAGUUUUUUUUUUUUGUAAGCCUACGAUUGAUUGAAUUCGUGAUCGUCUAUUGAAUUGGAAUAAUUUAAAUUUAUCUAUGGAGGACUUCUCGUUCUUAUUAACGACGUUUUUUCUGCUGUGCCACUUUUCUUCCUUUCUUUCUUCUUGGCUCCCACAGGUACCAGUUCUAAACUUGAAUGUUUAUUUAAAUAUUUUAUUUGGAGUGGGAGUGAGGAAGCAAUGAUUUUUUGUGGGUUAAAUGAGAUAAAAUGUGUCUUAGUAGAGAGAAAGAGGUUUAAGGAUUCACAACUUAAAAAGUUUUUGAUUUAGCUCUUCUUGAUAAAUGGUGUUAGCGUUUGAAAGGCGAUAGGGAUGAUUUGUUGCUUAAAAAUUUAACCUUAUAAGUACGAAUGUGUUAAUAGGGUAGUGAGUAAGGAUUCUCAAAAUGCAUCUUCUUGGUGGAUAAAUAUUUUUCUUUAUUUGAGGGUGGAGGGGUGUGGAAAGAGGGGGUUUGUUUAAGGAAAAUAUAGUUAAUGUGACGAGAAUGGUUUAAACACUUUUUCUAAGACUUUGUUUAAGGAAAGUUACAACAACACCAAGACUUUGCUCUGAGAAUUAUUUUCCAAGUCUGAUGAGCGCACUUUGAAACGCGCCUCUGGUGAUUCUGAUGGUUCAAGCAAUACUUUACUUAUUCUUCCUUUGAUUAGUAUGGAAAACAAUUGAUUGUCUGCCUCAAAUUAGUAUGACACACAUUUGAUCGUCUGCUUCUGAUGAAAAUGAUAUGACUGACAAAUUUUUUUAUCAUAUGACUGAUAGAAAGUCAACGCUAUGAUGAAAAAUCAACACUCUAAUGGAAAGUCAAUGCUCAGAUAAAAAUUCAACACUUUGAUUAAAAGUCAACAUUCUGAAGAAGAUAAAUUUGGUUAUCCUCUGCUCUAUGCUUGAAUUUGUCAUUUGUCUGAAGGUCCAUAUGACAUACUCUAAUCAUGAUAUCCUCUAUUCUUCAUAUCUCCAUAUCAAGAUAUGCAAAAUAAUUAGAAGGACAAAUUUGGACAAACUUUAAUAGUGAAUCGAUCUUUGAAGAUUCCAUACAAAACUUUGUGAUACAUACUAAUUUCUUGCAAUAAGGACAAUGGCCAGAAACCCUAAAGUUUAUCUAUAAAAGGACGUGAAACUUUCAUUUAAAAAUUACAACAACAAUACUAUAAUAAGCACGAUACAAUCAUCUUUGCACUCUUGUACUUAACCCUUUUAUUUUAUCUAAGUGUUGAAAGAUUUUCACUUUCUAAAAGCAUAGUUUUUUAAACAACCUGUGAGAGUAAUUCAGAAAACCCAUAAACACAUUAUAUUUAUAACCUAGCUCAAUAGGGUUGCAUCCAUCAAGAACUUGAUUGUACUAUGCUAACAGGUUGGUUGAAUGGUUGGUGGUGAACUAAGAUAAAUUGGUUUGUGUUGUUAUGUAUUUAUUCUUUUAUCUGCUAUGUUUUAUUGCUUUUUUUAAUCUUGCUAUUUUUUUUUUAUAAAUAAAACACAAUUCCAACCCCUCAUUUCUUGUACUACAAUUGGCAUCAAAGCUCAAUCUCAAAGCUAAGCAUUUAAUCGCGUUUGAGUAAAGAUCCAUUUUAUUAUGACCAUUUAUGGCGAUAAAGUUCUAAGUGGAAACUUUAAGAGGCCUCCUCUGUUUGAUGAAGAAUGAUUUGAAUAUUGGAAGGACAUGCUAAGAAGUUUAUUCAUCUCACGUGAUCCUGAACUUUGGGACAUAAUCGAAUAUGGCUAUGAGGCUCCAAAAGGCACAACUGGUGUUGAAAUAUCCAGAAAGGAUCUCAACUUCGAUAAAAAGAAACAAUACAAGAUGCAUGAUAAAGCAAGAACUUUCAUGGUGAAUGCUAUCAAUUUUAAAGAGUUCUAAAAAUGCAGCAACAAAUAGUAUCUUUGAUGCUCUGGUUCUCAACUAUGAAGGAAAUAGGAGGUAAUGAAGCUAAGACAAAUUUUCUUGUUAGGAAGAAUUAACUUUUCCAGAUGGAAGAAGAUUAAGGCAUUGAGAAAAUGUUUCUAGAUUUCAAACUAUAGUUUCUGGAUUGAAAGUUCUCCAAAAGAGUUACACUACCUCUAAUCACGUCAAGAAGAUCCUCAAAAGUUUUCCUAGCAAGUGGAGACCAAAGGUAAUUGCUAUUCAAUAGGCUAAGGAUCUAAACAAACUUUCUCUGGAAGAUUUGACAAGUUCACUCAGAUCCCAUGAGAUUAAACUGAUUGAAGAUGAGCCAAAGAAGAAGUCAAAGUCCUUGGUUCUCAAAUCCCAAGGAAAUAAAGAAAACUCCAAGGCAUUGGAUGCAACGAAAUACUUAGAGGAAAACAAAUCAGAUGACUAAAUUAAAGACUUAAAUGAUGAAGAGUUAUCAUUUAUCUCAAAGAAAAUACAGUGCAUGUGGAACAACAAUAAGAAAUAUGUUCCUAAAAGAGAUUUCAGACGUUCCCAAAAUAGCAGAAAAGAAAAGAAUUAUCUGCUAUGAAUGCAAAUAACCAAGACAUUUCAAAUCAGAGUGUCCAAAUGGCUACUCUUUGAGAAGGAAAAUUCCCAAAAAAAAAAUUCAAGGUAAAGAAGAAAGGGCUAUUGGCUAACCUGAAUGACUCUAAUGAAGAUGAAAAGCAUGAAAAUAUGACUUUGAUGGGAGAUACACCCUCUAACUAUGAUUAUAAGACCCAUAUUUUUCUCUAUUAUUAGUAGUAUGUGAAAUAUAUUUUUAUUUUUGCUCAAUAAUUUAUAAUGUUGUUGUUAUUAUUUUAUUCUUUAUUCAAUUAUUAUUUUUGAAAUGUAUAUAUAUGUAUGACAAGAAUUAUUUAAUUUGAUUGAAUAUUAUGCUAAAUUAUGUGAAAACCAUUUUUUUAAAAGAAUAUUUCCUUGUGAAGUAUUUGGAAGAAUAUUUAUAAUAAUGAUAUGAUUUAACUAUUUUUAGAAAACAAAAACAAUAAAAAUAUUUUAGAUUAGUCGAACGCUCAAAUGUUAGUUAAUGAGAAAACCCAUAUAAAUCUCUAGUUGGUUAUUAGUUUAGGUUAAUAAGUUAGGUCAACAAGAAAGAAAGAAAAAAAAACAUGAAUCCCUAAUAAUAAUUAGGUAAUGGCAAUAUACCGAAUUAGUCUAAACUAAAAUUAAUAAAAAGGAAAUUUAUAUCCAUGAUUUCUACAAGUUGAUAUAGCAAAAAAGAAAAAAAAGAAAAAAAACUAGUGGAACGGCGCACAAAAUGAAACAUAUAAGAAAAAGAAGAACAUUCAUAUUCGGUAGUUGAUGGUUGUGCAUCAAACUUGCUCUGAUUUCGUUCAAAUUGUAGUAUGUCAUCUCUAUAUUUAAAUUUGACUUACUAAUAUAAAUAUUCAUAUUUUUACUUUCUCUCUUACUCAAUUUGAUAAAACAUUUGAUUUUGAAAUGAUGUAUUUUUGAUGCAAAAUUUAUAUUUGUAAAUUAAAAUAUUGAUUUUUAUGGUAAAUUUGUUACUAUUGUUACUUAUCAAAAAUUGAUUUUUGUAAAUGGCUUUUUGAUGAUGAAUAAUUUUGAAAAUGAUGUUUGAUAUUAUUAUUAUUGUGCAAGAAUUUUUUUUUUUUAGUUUUAAAUGCAAAUCGUGUAACAUUGUUAUUGUUAAAAUGAUCACUUUGUUUCCUCUUAGAAUUAUAGCCUAUUUAAAGAGUUGGCUUCUUUAAUUUUUUUUUUCUAGGGUUGUAAAGAAAUAAUAUAAAAGAAAAUCCUUUUACUUCCUUCCAAGAAAAUUGUGUAGCUUGUUGUAUUGUUGUUGGAGUUACUAUCUUGCUUGUUUCUUUGGGACAUUGACUAUCCUUAAAACUGGAUUCUCUUUAUUUUCUAAAAUUUAUUUGAGGCUUUAUAACAUAAAGUGAUCCCAAUGAAAAUUAUAUUAUUCGAAUUUUUUUGAUGUUCAACUUCUUCAUCGACUAUCAAAUUGAAAAUCUCAAUUCAGUUGCACCAUUUUCUUUCGUUUGAAUGCUUUAUGGCUUUUAGAAUAUUGAAUGCAACUCUUUCCUCAUUUACCUUAAAGGUUAAGAUGCCAUAUCCCACAUCAAUCAUAGCUCUCCCUGUUUCUAAGAAUGGUCUCUCCAAGAUCAGGGGAUAUCAUUGUCUUCCUCCAUGUCUAGUACCACAAAAUCCACUGGAAAAAUGAACUUAUCUACUUUAACCAACACAUCUUCCACCACCCCAUAUGGGUGUUUCAUUGAACAAUUCGCAAACUGUAACAUCAGUUGUGUGUCUUUGACUCUUCUAAUGCCUAAUCUUUUGUAUACGAAAAGGGGCAUAAGACUCACACUAGCCCCAAGAUCACACAUGGCUUUCCCAAAAGUUCUAUCCCCAAUAGCGCAUGGAAUAAAGAAGCUUCCAAGAUCAUUGAGCUUAGGUGGCAGCUUCCUCUAUAGAAUAGCACUGCCCUUUUCGGUAAGCAUCAUUUUUUAACUACCAAUUUUUCUGUUCUUUAAUAUAAUCUCCUUCAUAAACUUGGCGUAUGUCGACAUCUGCUCUAGUGCUUCUGCAAAAGGAAUGUUAAUUUGCAAUUUUUUUAAAAACAUCAAGAAAUUUACUGAAUUUUUUUUCCAGUUUCUUCCUUUUUUAAUCUUUGAGGAAACAAAAGUUGAAUUUAUAGUUUUGACAAUGUCUCCUUUUUCUGUACCACAGGUUCUUCCUCCUUUUCAAGAGCGAUGUGCUCCUCAACUGAUGUCGGAGUGACCAUUUCCUCAGAGUGGGUUAAAGUUGAAGUACUUCCACUCUGUUUGUCUUUAGGUGGUACUUGUUCACUUACCUUGCCACUCCUCGUUGUCACUGCAUUGAUAUUAUUUCACGUAUUUGGAACUGUGUCACUAGGCAAAAAAUUUACAUGCGCUCUUUGUGCCAUUUAUUGAGCAAGUUGACCCAAUUGGGUCUCUAGAUUCUUUAUUGAUGCAGAGUUGUUUUUCUGGAUGGCUUUUGAUUCUUCAAUGAAAAACUUGUGCUUGUUAUUAACUUCUUAAUAGCACUCUCCCAAGCAGCUUUUCGAGGUGGAACUUGAUUUGCUUGAGCUCAUUGUUGACCCUAAGAUCCACCCUGUUGAUCUCUCUAAGAAAAAUUUGGAUGAUUUCUCCAACUAGGGUUGUACGUACUAGAGUAGAGAUUGUUCUGCUUCCCGUUAUUACCAAUAAAAUUCACCUCUUCUAGUUCUUUUGUAUCAUCUUCAUCCGGUGCUUCACACGUUCCAUUUUUAUGUGCUCCCCCACAAAAGUCACAACUAGUAUGUUUCAAUAAUUUGAUAGGGGAUACUUGAGGUUGUAUAUUUAGAGCUGUCAUCCCCUUUUUUAUCUCAGCGGAGAUAACAUCUUCUAUCUGUCUUGAGAGCAACCUGCCUUGAGCCAACCCAUCAUCCAUGACAUUCAAUUCCAGUAUACCACUUGUUGACCCACCACCUCUAUCAUACAACAUCAUUUGUUCAUUUGACGCCAUGAUCUCAAUAAUUUUUCGUGCUUAUGAUGCGGUUUUGUAAUUCAAAGAACCACCUGUUGUAGCAUCCAACAUAAUUCUAGUGCUAGGCCUCAAAUCAUUACAGAAUAUUUGCAUCUGUGUGAUGUCGUCAUAAGCAUGAUUGGGGCAUCCUGCUAGUAAACUCUUGAACCUCCUGUAAGUGUCACGAAGAUAUUCUCCUUCUUUAUAUUUGUAACUGUAAAUCUCUUGCCUCUUUCUAACGAACACUUUUGGGGAAAGUAUUGUUCCAAAAACUUAUCUUCAAGGUCAUCCCAUGUGGUGAUGCUACCGGCAUGAAAGGAAUUAAGCUACUCUUUACCAUCAUCUUUCAAUGAAAAUGGAAAGAGUCUCAACAUCUUGCCUUCUACAGAACAACCAUCCACUUUCAUUGUUUCAUAUAAUUCAAAGAAGUUCGUGAGAUGUCUAUUGGCAUCUUCGUUAUGUUUACAGGAAAAAUGAAUCUCCUUCAACUCUCGGUAUAGAGCGGGGCUCACUUCAAACUUGUUGACUGUAAUCGAGGGUGCGUUCAAGUGGUGGUGGAUUGGUCAUUUCCUCAAUUAUGAAGAAAUCCCCCAAAUCCUCUUCUUCUACUACUAAUUGUCUUUCCCUUUGUCUCCUUUCUCGAACCUCUUUUCGAUUUGCCUUCGCAGUUUUUCUGAUUUCUGUAUCAAAGAAAAGUUCAGCUGAGGAUUGGCCUCGCAUACAAGGUUAGACAAAUUGUGAGUAAUGAACAUUUUUAAAAUAAAGAAAGAUAAAUAAUUAAGUAAAAAUAAAACAAGUUUAUAACAUAAUUUUUUUUUUCAAAAUUAAAAAUAAAAUAAAAGCAAAAAUUUUAUUGUAGAGCAAAAAAUUUCAAUUAAGUAAAUAAAUUAAAUUCAAUAGUGAUAUAACAAUUCCUGGCAACGGCGCAAAAAACUUGAUAGCGUUUCAACAAGUGUACUGAAUCAUUGCAAGUAAUUAUUAAAACGGUAGUACCGAGUGUCAAACUCAAGGAUUGCGUUUUACUAUCGAAUUAUAUUUAGUUACUAAAAUUGAACAAAAAGUUCCUAGAUUAAUUGAAAUAAUAUUUAAAAUUAACAACAGUGAUAAAAUUGAACAUUUAUAAUAAGAAAAAUGUCAGGGAUGAGUUUCACUUCGAAUCCAACCUUGGUGUCUAGUUUGAUCCUAGUUACUGAAUUCUUUUAUUGAAUAAUUACCAAAUUCUCUUUAUUAUUCUUGCCCUAAUGUCUUAGUGACAGAACCUUUAAUUCCAAAGUAACCCCUAAUUCCUUAGUGGAUUUAAGAUUAGAAUUAAGCCUUACCGUACAAGAAUUCUCUUUUUAAACUAUUGUCUCUGCAACUAAUUUAAUUGGUUUCAUGACCUGCAUCUAUCCCUAGACUACAAAUUCAUGAAUUUCUCAUCUCAAGCAUUCGUAAAGUCUGCUUCUGUUUCAAAAUGCGAAUUGUAGAACAUUUUAAUGUUGAUCAAGCAAUAAAAAGCAUUAAGCACAUAUAUGAGAAAAUAAUUCAAUAAACUCAUUCAUAUAACUAAAAGUCAAAUCACAAAAACAAGGGUUUCAUCUUGUUACACUCAUCCCUAACAAAUAGGGUUUAGUUACUCAUGAUAGAGAUAGAAAAGAUAGAUAUUAGAUAAGAAUUACAAGAAAGAUUCAUGAAUGAUUCCUGAUAAAAUUGCUCCAAUGGUGUUAGAAACGGUUGCCUUUGAGUUUCUCUGCUAGGGCACAAGUCUCCCCACUUUCCAAUAGUAAAAAAGAUCCCUAGAAAGUGAAAAAAUAAAUGCAUUUUAAUUGCCGUGUGCCACAUGCCUCAGGCGCAACUUUUGCACUUCUAGCACGUCUCGGCAGAGGCUUCAGCCUGAAAACGCGCCACAAGCGCGGCUGUUGCGCUUCAGACGCACAACUUCUUCUAUGUGAAGUUUUCUGUAUUUUUAUCCUCUUUUGAGUCUGAAUUGGGUUCCGGUGUCUUCAUGAAAGUUGUAGCUAUGGAUCGUCGCUUUCAUUUGCACUUAGUUUGACUCCAAUUAGACAUCUACAACUCCAUAUAUGACUGAAAUACUCUACAUAGGUCAUGUUGAUUUCUCACCAAAAUUCAGCACUGCAUUAAAACAAAGUAACAACGCAAAACUCCGAAAAAUCUCUACUUAAUCAAGGAAAUAAGAACAUAAGCAUUUCAUUAAAUCAAAUAAAUAAAAUUAACAAAAUAUAUCAAAUAACUCCUUAAAUUAACUAAUAAAUAAAAGAUAAAUAAGACUAAAAACAAUGAAAAAUAUGCAUAUAAUGAAUAGUCAUCAUUAAGCUUACAAACUAAUGUUUUUUCUUUAGUCUUAAUACCUGGAGGUUGCACCAUAUUAACUUCUUCAUCUAAAACACCAUUUAGAAACAAACUGUUCACAUCAAUUUGAUGUAUAAGCCAUUUGUUUGAUACUACAAAUCGAUAAUAAUGUAUGUACAAUUACUGGUUUGACAAUAGGGGAUAACGUUUCAAUGAAAUCACAACCAAUCUUUUGAUAGAAUGCUUUUGCAAAAAGGUGUGCCUUGUACUUAUUGAUUGAUCCAUUCGUGUUUUCCUUAACCCUUAAACACCCAUUUGCACCCUGUAGGCUUACAGCUAGGAAGGGAAGUAACCAAGGUCCAACUCUUAUUAUGAAGAAGAGCAACAUAUUCAUCUUUUAUGGUUGCAAGCCAAAUAUGGUGCAGCAAGAGCUUGCUAUACAAUAAUGGGUUCCAAGUGAGUUAGAAACAGAGUGGGAUGCAAAUAAGGCAGUACAAUGCCAUUCUUAGUUCUAGUUUGGAUUGGGUGAAUGUUCCUAAGAUGUAUCCUAAUAGGGAAAGGAAUAGGUGCAUAUGCCUCAAGUCUAGACAUAGACCUUGCAAAUCUAGACACAUGUGUAUCUAGUAUGGAUUCACGGAUUUCAGAGUUUGAUGUAGAGUUUGGAUUGGAAGGAGUUGAUAAGGAUUAGGGUGAUAGCAGGACCAAAUGGGGUGUAGGGGGGGUGGAACCAAGCAAAGAGUUGGUGGAUGAUGAGAGAUGUGAAAAAUGUUUGUGGUGUGGGUGUUAGUGUUGAUGAAAUAUUUUGUGGGAAACAUUUCAAAGUAUGGAAACUUACCCUCAUUGAAUAACACAUCAUUGGAUAUAUAGACUCUACCAUCAGGGCUAAGACAUUUGUAUCCUUUAUAGACCGUUGAGUAACUCCUUGAUAGGCACAUGAUCAGAAAAAGAAAAAAAAAAAGCUCUAAGAUACCAUGUUAAGAUUCAUAUUGAGAGAAAGUGAAAUAAAGUUAAGAGAAAGGUUGAAAGAAUAUUUGUAACUGAGUAUCCAUUGAUUGAAAAGUUAUUGGUUAUAAGAGGGUAAUGUCUAUUUAUCGUUAGAAAUCAGUGCAACAAAAAUCUAACAAUUCCUUAUUGCCUUGAACUAACUAAUCCUAAUAGAAUCUUAUAGAAGUUAAGUUAGUUAGAACUGAAGCUAUUUUAUCUUACAAAAUUUAACAGGUGUGGAUUUAUCAUCCCAUUUCUAAUACAAGUGGCACUAAUUGCCCUAUUUUCUUUGGUGCAAUUUGGAAUUGCAACAAACUUGAUUAUCUCUAGAGAGACUGGACUUGACAAUCAUCUUACCUUAGCAAUGCAAAUUUGGCUUAUUAAACUAAGAAAGAAAUCAACUACUCUCUAACAUUCAAAAUGCGAGACUUCGCAAACAACACAUUCAUCGAACAAAAGUUCCCUCAAGGAGUGAAAAUCAACAAGGAAUCUUAUAUUUACAGUCAAACAACUUGUGAAGGUCUUAUUAGAAAUCAACAAAACUAAAUUUUAAAGAAAUUUAUUUGUAAUUUUGGACCAAUUUUUUUUCUUUUACAUAGUUUUGAGCACUCAUUUUGAUUUUCAAAUAGAGAGAUACACCCACACACAUGUUAUUCCUGAAACCGAUUCUAUACAAAUUGUUAGCAUGAUUCAAAAUGGACAUACUUCAUAUUUCAUCUUCAACCUAUCUUAAUAAGGUUUUUACUCUUAUCCAUAUUCGAGGGUCGAUGGUUGAAGUUACAUAUUUUGAGAGGCAAAAAUGAAGAAGGCGCGUGCAAUACAAGUGGAGAAGAUAGUAGUAUAGUGUAAGUUGUGAGCUGUGCAAUGUAAGUACUGUACUGGGCCCCCACCACCCAUGUGCCUUCUUCCUGUCUCCACCAAUUCCUGUUUCCAACUCAAUCAUUACAUUACAUUACACACACUUCUCCUCCUUCUACCUUCUCCCUUCUCUUUUUCACUUCAUUAUUUCAAUUUCAACAAUUAAUCAAAUACCCAAAACCCCUCAUUCCCAUUCUCCACAAUACAAUAAAAAAUUAACCCACAACUAUUUCAUGUCUAACUGCAAGGAAACAACUAACGCCGUAACUAUCACUAACGGCGCAACAACAACAACAACAGAACCGGAAACUACGCAACGAAACACCAUCGCCGUUAAAAAACCACCGUCCAAAGACCGUCACAGCAAAGUAGACGGACGUGGAAGAAGAAUACGUAUGCCAAUAAUUUGCGCCGCACGUGUUUUCCAGCUUACACGUGAGCUCGGUCACAAAUCCGACGGUCAAACAAUCGAGUGGCUUCUCCGGCAGGCGGAACCCUCCAUCAUCGCCGCCACCGGCACCGGAACCACUCCCGCUUCAUUUUCAUCUCUCUCUGAACACAAACCUUUUCUCCCUCCUUCUCCUUUCAUUCUCGGAAAACGAUUACGUUCUGAACAAGACGACGCCGUUGCCGUUGCUGCGCAUCCUGCUCCGCCCGCUCUAUGGCGGCCUGACUUCGCGCAACUCUGGAGCUUCGCCGCCGCCGCACAACCUCCACCGGAAGUUCUUUCCAUUUCUCCGCAACAGCAACAGCACAAUUCGUUGUUUCAUCAUCAACAACAGCAGCAACAACAACAACAUCAAGCUUCCAUGGGAGAAGCUUCGGCGGCGAGGUUAGGGAAUUACCUUCCUGGACAU